ACGGGGGGAACGAGCGUUGUUCGGAUUUACUGGGCGUAAAGGGAACGCAGGCGGGUAUGUAAGUCUGAUGUGAAAACCCGCAGCUUAACUCCGGGCCGGCAUUGGAUACUGGGAAACUUGAGUGCGGAAGAGGUUGGUGGAACUCUUUGGGUAGCGGUGAAAUGCGUAGAUACUGGGAGGAAGACCAGUGGCGAAGGCGGCUAUCUGGGAUGAAACUGACGCUGAGGUGCGAAAGCAAGGGGAGCAAACAG
rnacentral:rRNA from 1 species